rnacentral:rRNA from 1 species
GACGAACGCUGGCGGCGUGCUUAACACAUGCAAGUCGAACGAUGAAGCCGGAGCUUGCUCUGGUGAAUUAGUGGCGAACGGGUGAGUAACACGUGAGUAACCUGCCCUUGACUCUGGGAUAACUGCGGGAAACUGUAGCUAAUACCGGAUACGACCCUCGGAGGCAUCUCCUGGGGGUGGAAAGAAUUUCGGUCAAGGAUGGACUCGCGGCCUGUCAGCUAGUUGGUGAGGUAAAGGCUCACCAAGGCGACGACGGGUAGCCGGCCUGAGAGGGUGACCGGCCACACUGGGACUGAGACACGGACCAGACUCCUACGGGAGGCAGCAGUGGGGAAUAUUGCACAAUGGGCGCAAGCCUGAUGCAGCAACGCCGUGUGAGGGAUGACGGCCUUCGGGUUGUAAACCUCUUUUAGCAGGGAAGAAGCGAAAGUGACGGUACCUGCAGAAAAAGCACCGGCUAACUACGUGCCAGCCGCCGCCGUAA